AAAUGUCCCAUGUGUUUCCAUCUAAAACAUAUGGGAAAAUUUAAAAAAAAUAUGUGAAAAAUGUGGAGGUGGAGUCCAAGAAGUACUCAAGCAGAAAAAAAGUUCAGCCAAGUUGUGAGUUAAGGGCGCGGGUAGACCCGAAAAAGACUGUAGGUUGCAUGGAGUAGGCCUGCAUACUGGCCUCUGUGUUGGGCGUUGGGUCGUUGGGCAUGUGCCUGGGUCGGCUGCAGGCUAGACAUGUGACAGGUCAGUUAGGCCUGGGCACAUACAGGUUGCCUGCGAGCGAGACCUGCUAGCCACGCUAGUGGGCACUACGAAGUGUCUAUGCGCACAACCUUUACCAGUGCGCAUGCUGUACAAGCACUUAUGCAUCUGUGGGGCACGCAGACUUGUUUUCUCGCACACUCGUCACACCCUUGUCAUGCGGAGAGUGUUCCCACGUGUGCGAGUGGGCUUUCAUGCGUGUGGGAACCGUCACACAUGUGCCAAAUGUAGGCCACGUAUGUCACACGUGUCUUUCACUAAUUUUUCUUACGUUGGACCAUUUCUUGGGCCUUACUAGUGAUAU
rnacentral:lncRNA from 1 species